AAAGCCCCUGAGAACGUUGUAUGAAUAUUCACAGGAAAGAGACGUUCUACUCCCUGGAGGUUGAGACUGGAAUGAGAAGUGCUGAAGAAAAGGGUCGAAUGGAGGUCUGAGGACUAAGAGGUUGAGGCCCGUGGAAAAUGGAUCAGAGAUCAGUUUUCGCCGGCAGUCGAAAU